CACGUAGGCGGACUUUUAAGUCAGGGUGAAAUCCGGGGCUCAACCCCGGAACUGCCUUUGAUACUGGAAGUCUUGAGUUCGAGAGAGGUGAGUGGAAUUCCGAGUGUAGAGGUGAAAUUCGUAGAUAUUCGGAGGAACACCAGUGGCGAAGGCGGCUCACUGGCUCGAUACUGACGCUGAGGUGCGAAAGCGUGGGGAGCAAACA
rnacentral:rRNA from 1 species